CCCCGCCUCUCUCCUCCCACUCGCUGGAUCUCCGCUUCUCUCCGUGUGUCCCGCUUCGCCCUGGGAGGAUCGGUGCUGGAUCCCGCGGGAGAGGCUUCUGGGUCCCGCUCCGGGCAGGUCCGGCCUCCGGGCCGCCCCUCCCGCUAGGAGAGCUUUUCCCCCCCGCCAGGAGAAAGGAGACCAGUGAGGAUGUGGCCGUGAGCGCCACAGAAGAAAAGGGGCGUCCUUGGAUCGGGACCCGCCAACUCCAUUCUAGAGAAUUUGGAAAUCGAGGCCUACUUGGAGAAGCAGCCUCCUGCACAAAGGGCUAGUCGGUCAGGCAAGAUCAAACCGGUCAACGGUGAGGAUCAUACCUGGCCUUCAUUCAGAGCGGUAAUGAGUGACCCAGAGGCCUCUUAGCUGCCACUUUAAAGGAAAAUAAAUGUGACCUGCAAGCCAACUAUCAACAGAUAGUAGAAAAUCGGCACGAGGUAGCAGCUGCCAGAAAGGAUGGAGUCUGGGAAACUCUCAGAUCCCCCGUCAGACACGGGCAGCACUCCGGAAAAGCACCAAAGAACCCAUGAAUGCUCAGAGUGUGGGAAACCCUUUGCUCACUGGUCCCACCUUUUGACCCACAGGAAGGUCCAUGUGGGAAGUGGAUCCAUGCAAGGUUUGGAGGGUGAGAAAUCCUUCUUUGGAAAAAAACCCAAAGAUCUUAGAAUCCCCCCCAGACUAAAACCCUAUAAAUGUGAGGAAUGUGACUUACGCUUUGGUUGAAAGUCAUACCUUUUUACACAUCAGAAAAUCCACACUGGAGAGAAACCUUAACAGUGUCUGGAAUGUGGGAAAUUUUUCCGUGAAAAAGCCCCCCUCAGAGACCACGAGAUAAUUCACACAGGGGAGAAAACUUACAGGUGUUGUUUGUGUCUCUUUCGCCCCCUAUCCACCCUCCAUCCUCUCGUAUUCCCAGUGGAAGAGACCCCCAAGAGACUCAGGUCACCAGCUCUGAACUGGGACAGGAAAAUCUCUUUAAAGAUUGUAAAGUAAAACUUCCAAGGUUUCAUGGAACUGUAUGGAAGUCUGUAAUCUUCUGGAGUGGGACUUUUUAAAAACAUUUCAGGCCAUUGAACAGCUUUAAGAAUGAGGCUUAAUAGCUUUCAGUAUUAUUUAAUUAUUAAAUGUUUAUUAAGUGGAUGUUUAUACUAAAUGGAAAGAGGAAAUA